rnacentral:rRNA from 1 species
AGUGAACGCUGGCGGUAGGCCUAACACAUGCAAGUCGAACGGCAGCACAGUAAGAGCUUGCUCUUACGGGUGGCGAGUGGCGGACGGGUGAGGAAUACAUCGGAAUCUACUUUUUCGUGGGGGAUAACGUAGGGAAACUUACGCUAAUACCGCAUACGACCUACGGGUGAAAGCAGGGGAUCUUCGGACCUUGCGCGAUUGAAUGAGCCGAUGUCGGAUUAGCUAGUUGGCGGGGUAAAGGCCCACCAAGGCGACGAUCCGUAGCUGGUCUGAGAGGAUGAUCAGCCACACUGGGACUGAGGCACGGGCCAGACUCCUGAGGGAGGCAGCAGUGGGGAAUAUUAGACAAUGGGCGGAAGCCUGAUCCAGCCAUAGCGCGUGGGUGAAGAAGGCCUUCGGGUUGUAAAGCCCUUUUGUUGGGAAAGAAAAGCAGCAGGUUAAUACCCCGCUGUUCUGACGGUACCCAAAGAAUAAGCACCGGCUAACUUCGUG